ACCUUGGGCUUCCUUGGAUGAAGGAAGUGACCGAAACCCGGCGGUAUCGCACGGUCAGUCCCUGCGGUUCUGGCCGGGAGAGCUCUGGAGCAGCGAACCUCGGCGAUGAGGCCUCCUGGAGCUCUCAAGAAGCAUGGCUGAAGUCUUCAAUCUGCACGGCUUUUCAGAAUUUGCUAAGCCAGAUAAAACACUCAUCCAAUCUUUGAGACCUGCCAUGAUAGAGAUGUUUCCUCCGUGCUUUGUCCCUGAGAACCAGUAUUUGUAACACAGUCACACUCUUUAAGCUUAGAUUUUCACAGGGCUAGGAAUGUUUUGGAACGAGAGGUCAGAAGAAAGGCAAUGCAAAGUAAAGGAGCUUCACAAAGACCACUUCAAGUUGUGGUGGAAAGGAAGGCGGUAUCCCAUGUAACAAAAGAUAGGAUAAACAUUCAUCUAGUGGAGGCCUGAGGGGAUGCAUUCUGUUAUAAAAAUAAGUACAUCAUAUUAUCCAUGAGAACAGGCUACCCUUCACUUGCCAUUUUCAGCACCAUCUUGACAGGGUGACUAAGGAAAACGGAAAAAGCCUUUGCUGUUUUCCUCGUAUGUCCCCUCUAAAACACCUCCUUGGCUGAGUGAGGCACACGAAGUAUAGCCAGGAUCCAGAGCACGUGAAGCAAAUCAUAUCACAGACAUAAAAUACAAGUUAAUUCUCUGUUGGGUUCUAGUAUUGGCAGAGUUGGUAACAUUUCCUUAAGUAAGUGAAAGUAACCAGUUGAAAACAAGGUUUUAUAAAUACUUCUAGAUAUUAAAUGUUUCCCAUUACAUGGUACGUUCCAAGCAAUUAGCAGCUCUUCAAGUCAAUGCUGAUAGUUAGAUCAGAAGAAAAAAUCCUCAAGGAGUCAGUUGGGAAAAUGUACAAAUGAAAAACACAUCUGUCUUGUUUUAACUUCUGCCCUGGGAUCUGGAUUUUCUAAUUCUUCUUUCUUUCUUUCUUCCUUUCUUUAUUUUUUCUUUUCUGGGAAGGAAGAGGAAGAAAAAGAGAUAAAAGGUUCUGUAGAAGCAUAUGCCUUUUUAAGAAGAGAAGAGUGUGCCCACUUGUGAAUUUGUCUAUAUAUCAGUGUUCUGGUAUAAAGGUGAAAAAAGAAAACAAUCCAAAAGCAUUUCUUUGUCUUAUCUGUGACAUGAUGUCUGGCUUAGGCCACAUUUUGCAGGGCUGGAAAAAGACCAAAGAGAUGCCACAGGAAAAUAUAUUGAAAUUCAAAGUAUUUUUAUAGAGUGCAGCUAAACUCAGCAUACCUUCCUAGCUUAACUCUGACCAGAUGUAGGAGUGGAUAAAAAACGCAAACUGUUUUGAUUUUACCUCAUCCCUUUAUUUUUCAUGUAUAAUAAAUACUGUAUUUAGAUGAGUCCAAGAUUAUCUCUGGGGGAAUGUCACAUAAAUUAUGUGCAUGGAGGGAAAUGAUCCUCACCAACCACUGCAGAUAACAUGGAAAAGGUCCUACCACAACUUCAGUGUGUGCUCACCCAGGCUGGUGGGUAGUCACAGGAAGAGAGAACUUCUGUGUCCGUGGAGGGAUUCUGCUGAGCGCUUGACAAAUUCAUAAUAAAGGAAAAUAAUAUUUUGAGAUCCUGGCACAACACCACACAAUAGAGUUGGCCCUGGUGAUGGCCCCACAUGUUUUCUUCAGCACUGCCACUGGACCAGUUGUACUGAGGGCACUGUGACUCCACACCUUGCUUAUUUCAUGCUUUUGCUCCAUUAAAAUGGCUGGAAGUAUGGACUUAAUUGUGUUUUUCCUCAUUCAUCAGAAUAAUUCACAUCUAUUCCUUUUUGUUUUUUUUUUUUUUUUUUUUCUUUCUAUUUGCAGAACCUGGCUAGGAAAUGCUGCGUAGAAGGAAGAGACAAGUCAUCACCCUGUAGCAGAUAUCACUUGAAUAAAGUAUGUGAAGUGUUAUAAAGC
rnacentral:lncRNA from 7 species